rnacentral:lncRNA from 1 species
GGAUGAUCUCAUCCCCAGAACCUUAACUCAAUUACAUCUGCAAAGACCCUUUUUUUUUUUUUCCAAAUAAGAUCAGAUUGACAGUUGCUAGGAAUUUUGACAUGGGUACGUAUUUUGAGGGACCACCAUUCAACCCACUGUGAGGAGUGGGUUACUUUUUAGUUCAUAUAAGAAAUUAAAACAUUGCUCAAUUUCAUCAAAAUUGUGGGAAAGCCCAUCCCACAUAUUACUGAUUCCAGAAGCAGUAAGAAUGGCAGCAGCAGCCUGAAGGGCCUCGGAAGGCAUGCAGUCUAGCUUUCUAAGGGGCACCAACAGGCACAGGCUCAUGGAAAAAAGUGCUCUUGAGAAAAACCUGGACUCAGAAGAGCCUGGACCACACAAACGCACCCCAGCUUCUUUCUGAGAUCAUUUUCCUGUCUGCCCAAGGGAGGUUCUCCCUCAAGGGUGCCAUCCAUCCUCCUCCAGCCUGUGAAUCAUCUGCUAUUUCUGAAACCCAGAGUGAUGAACGAGUCAGCCCAGGGUAGCACCGUGCCUUCAUCUGCAUCAGACAACCUGAGAAUACUCAUUUCAUUUCACUUCUGACCUUUUUGCUAUUCUGCAAACCCACAAGAUCUGGGCUGCAUAAUAAUAUCUGAGGAUCAGAGGCAAGGUGAGAUUAAGCUGGCUGACUUCGUUGAAGGAAAACAAGAAACCAGCCUCUGCCUCUCGGGUCCCUGAGUCAGGCCCUGGUUCCUGGACAGAGUGGGCGGGCCUUGGAUGCUGAUAAUUGAAGGCGGCACCUCCGGAGGAGACGGUGACUCCUGCAAAGACGUCUGGUGGGAGUCCAGUCUUAUAGAGAGGUGAGGGCCCUGCCAGCCCACGGCCCCAGGAUGUCAGUCACUCAGCUGUUUCUCUUCUCAGACAGGCAGGGCCGGCGAGCUCUGGCCAUUCCUGGGUUGGGUGGCUCAGAGAGCCAGUAGACAUGUCACAGAAGCCAGGGCCCCCGGAGUGGCACCAUCUGGCCCAAGGCUCAUGUUAAUACAGCCAGCACUAGCCACCCGGAACUGCAGGGGACACUCCAGCAGGGACACUCCUCUGGGCCUCUGAGUCAGAGCCACCUUCUUCAAGAAGAUGCAGGCCUCCCCUCACCACUGACUCUUUGCUCUCCCUCCAGCAGGGGUGAGUCAUGCUGUCACUUGCAGGUUCAGACUGGACAAAGUGGUGUGGGUGACUCACCUGGAUGAAGACCAGGACAUGGGGUGUCAUUUCCUAUUUAUCUGUAAUACAGAUGAAAACCCAGGACGUGUCCAACGAGCACGGACAAGGACACUCAUUACUAGCCGGUAGGGAAAAGCAAAUUAAAUAGGCAAAUUCAUAGAGACAGAAAGUAGAAAAGAGGUUGCCAGGGCCUGGGGGAGGGGGAACAAAGAGCACUUUCAAUGAUAGUUAAUGUCUGGGAAGAUGAGAAAGUUCUGAAAAUAGGUAGGUGGUGAUGGUUACAUAACAUUGUGAAUGUACUUAAUGCCACAGAAUUAUACACUUAAGGUGAUUAACAUGGAAAAUUUUAUGUUAUGUAUCUGUUAUCACAAUUAUUUUUUUUAAUCCCAGGGCAAUGCGACAUGGGAAAACUCAUGAAAGUGGCCCACAGAGCCACUUUGUGGCUGGUCCCUCUCUCAGACCCCAUCCCUGUGUCCUCAACUUCUUCAUCUUUGCUGGUUUCAUUCCCUCCCUCAAGCCCAGAAACAAACAGUUUCUCCUACAAAAAAGAGGAAAAUUAAGUUCCUGUGGAAACUUCACCACCUGUUAAAAAGCUGAGGGAGGGCCUGGCCCUAUUUGCCGUGCAAGUGUGUCCGCAGGACCUGCUUUUAGAACAUGCCGAUUCGCCCCGGAAAUGCAGGUGUGGCCUUCUCCCACAGGUACAGGGACAGGCACUCAUGGGCCCAGAGGCAUCUGGGGCUAAAGGUUGUGUUUGUUUUUAUUACAUAUUAGCCAUUGUCAUCCCCCUCGCGCCCCCUCAAAAUAGACAUCUGAUUAUCACCAAUUUAAAACCAGCUUUUCCUCUCACUAAAAAUUCAGUAUGAAGCCAUUGUAGUAGAAUUCC